UGAAGCGGUGGCUCAAUGGUAGAGCUUUCGACUCCCAAUCGAAGGGUUGCAGGUUCAAUUCCUGUCCGUUUCAU